rnacentral:lncRNA from 1 species
CCCAUUCACUGGGCCCAGUAAUUUUUCUCUUAGUCAUCUUUCUAAAGAAGUAAUCUAGGAUGUGACAAAACAUUUUGGGAACAGGAAUAAUCAUUACUGUGCUACUUAAAAAAUUAAAAUAACAUUUGUAAAGGAGGCAAAACUCAAUGGCUUACAACAAAAAGCUGUAUUCUCAUGCUCAUGGGUGAGCACAAGAGCCACGGCUUGGCUGAUGGGGCAGGAUAUGGAUGGCUCAACUUCAGCCUAACCUUCAGGGGGACUUGACUCUGAGCUCUAUUCUGGGUUCAGUUUUGCUCCACAGCUGUCUGGCCACAUUCUUCUCCCAGUGGAUCAGCCAUGCACUGGAGGGCAAGCUAAACCUCACAGCCCUGUGCCAAUCCUCCCCUCACAAGACUGCUGACAUCCCAUGCUCUGUGUAAGCACAGGAACAAGGGAAAAACCCACAGGGCAGGGAAGUAGACUCCACUCAUAAUGGGAGACAGGGGCAAGUAUAUAUUUGAUGAGUGAUCAUAGAAAUAACAACUGUGAUCUAGAUUUGCUUUGCAUUGGCACACAUUGUUCUUCAGUGGAGUACCAUGGAAGGGGCUUAUUGGUACAACAGCAUGGCACACAAUUUUGAAAUCAGGCAGCCCUGACUUUGAGUUCUUGCUCUGCUAUUAAUAUUAGUGGUAGCUAUUGGAAAGGUAUUUGAGAUUCAGGGAUGAAUGAAAAUCACUGUAAAUCUAGAACCCUACCCUUAUCUAAACUAUCAAUCUCUUUUUAUUGAACAGUUUCAAAUUUAUUUUUGAUAAACAAUUUUAAUAUAGUCAAACAUUUAUUAGAAGCAGAAAAGUCAUUGUAGAGCACUUGAAUUAUAUUUAAAAGUUUAGCGGUCUAAACUAGCAAUCUAAGAUGAUUGUG